rnacentral:lncRNA from 1 species
CCAUUAAUAUAUUAACAGAAUAACACCUGAAUUCCUGAAUGUAGGGGUGAGAUCUGGGACCGAUCCGAGGCAGGGAAAAUCAUAAAAAUCCAAAUGAUUUGAUCCCGUUGCGAACAAUGGGAUGAAAACAAGUAGACAACUCUGUCUGAAUUGGGCACCAAAUAAAUUAAUUAUACACAUUUUUUAUUUGAGGCCGUGGCUCGUGUUGCGAUGUUGUAGACUUGCAGUGUUGAACUGUUGAUGUAUGAUUUUUGAACUUUGAAGCCAGGAAGGACCCAAGGGUAGGCUGGUAAUUCAGUGGUCUAUAUUCUACAAUUUGGAGGGGGAAAUAAAUACCUAGAUAUAAUUUUGAACAAUAUUUGCAAGAAAUAAUAACAAUAUUAAUUUCCCAGAGGGGCAGUCGGGCACAGGCCAUAUCUCAAAUCGUCUUUUGCUCCUCCUCAGUCCUCCCUCCCUCCCUGUUGAAGUCAUGAAAUGUAGGGUGUUCACCGUCCAACUUAUUCUUACUCUAUGCUAAGGCCUAAGACCCUAAGAUCAAGUUCAUCAUCCACAACGAUAUCACUUCAUUUCUUUGUAGAUUGGGCAUUUUAAUAAAAAAUGAUUGUCAUCGCCGCUGCUUCACUCCGAUUCUCAUCUUCUUCGCACGCUGUGUUUCCUUCUCUCUUUCUGCCGGUUCAUACUUCACGACAAUUCCUCCUGGUACCAGCGAGGCGAGACAGCAGUAUAUCUUGUAUCGAUUUUUCUCCUCCUCCUCCUCCUCCUCCUUCUCCUUCUUCGUCGUCGUCUGACGGAAAUGGAGGGAUGAGAUGGGAGUCUUUUCGCAAGAAGAAAGUUGUGAUGCGUGUGGGAUAUGUAGGCACGGAUUACAGAGGUAAUAUAUUUGCAUUUCCUCUCUCUUAUCUUCUUUAUUUCUAAAUUUCUUUUGUAUUUUUUCCCUUGUCCGUAUUUUCUUAAUUUCUCAUCCCCUUAAAAAAAAUCAAUCUUUCUUCUUCUUCUUUCAAAUUCAGGUCUGCAGAUUCAAAGAGGUCCUGGAUCAUUUCCAAGUAAGACAAUAAUCUUACUCUACUACUUGAUUAACUGAUUUUACAUUUCACUUUUCUUUUGCAUCGAUGUAGUUAAUAAUUGUGUUAUCAAUUUUUCGAACUAGUUCUUCAUUGUCUCUUUUUUAACUUUAUAGUUAAGAUAAAUAUUGAUAGGUUUAUAACUUUAUAUUGGCUUAUGUGAUCUUCAGAAUUUGGAUAACUAUUUUUUUUAAUGUUUCCAUCAAUGUUCACUUUUAAAAAAGUUUGCAACUUUAUACUGUCCACGAGUUUCAUACUACUUAAUGAGUUAUUGUUACUUUCUUAGUGUGUGUUCUUUCCUAUGUUAAUAUGUUUUACUUGUAUCUCAGAAACAUACAAUUUUUUUUAUCAUAUUAACUAUCAGGAGUCAGGACUUGUUAAUUUAAUUAAUGAUACUUACUACUAAAUCAUUGAAGAUCGAAAACCCAUUGUUAAAGGUUCAAAAUCUUACCUGCAGCAAUUGAAGGAGAAUUAGAAGCUGCUAUAUUUAGGGCAGGAGGUAUCCAUAACGGUAAUUUUGGGGAUCUUUACAAAAUUGGGUGGACUAGAAGUAGCAGAACUGAUAAAGGUGUAAGUGAUAUAUAUAUAGUUUCAUAAUCAUUAAUGCUAAACGACAUAUGUAAAGUUUUUUUUAAAAUUGAGGUAUAUAUUCGAUAUCUGUAACUGUAAAUCUCUAAUACUAAUUUGGUAUUAUGGAUCAGCACUGAAAGCAUUUUUGUAGGAUGUCAAAUAUAUAUCUUCAUUGAAAUUUGAAAUAAAAAAAUGGUUCAUUUGUUAGUCGUUACCCGGGAGUAGGAUCUAGGGGCAAUUUUUUUUUACCUGCUUUACAAAAUUCGCACCAUGCCUGAGACCCGCUGAUCCGCUGUUAUUUUGGAGAAGGAAUGAAGGAUGAAUCACAUCAUUCGCCUUAUAUUCUGAACCGCUCCGUUCACCCUUAUUUUUCAGGAGGCAGGCUUCUCUAUUCUUAUCUCUAGUUCCUACAAGAGAAGCCAAAA